GACGAACGCUGGCGGCGUGCUUAACACAUGCAAGUCGAACGAAGAGCGAUGGAAGCUUGCUUCUAUCAAUCUUAGUGGCGAACGGGUGAGUAACGCGUAAUCAACCUGCCCUUCAGAGGGGGACAACAGUUGGAAACGACUGCUAAUACCGCAUACGAUCUGACCUCGGCAUCGAGGAUGGAUGAAAGGUGGCCUCUAUUUAUAAGCUAUCACUGAAGGAGGGGAUUGCGUCUGAUUAGCUAGUUGGAGGGGUAACGGCCCACCAAGGCGAUGAUCAGUAGCCGGUCUGAGAGGAUGAACGGCCACAUUGGGACUGAGACACGGCCCAGACUCCUACGGGAGGCAGCAGUGGGGAAUCUUCCGCAAUGGACGAAAGUCUGACGGAGCAACGCCGCGUGAGUGAUGACGGCCUUCGGGUUGUAAAGCUCUGUUAAUCGGGACGAAAGGCCUUCUUGGAAUAGUUAGAAGG
rnacentral:rRNA from 1 species